GAUGAAGAACGCAGCGAAAUGCGAUAAGUAAUGUGAAUUGCAGAAUUCAGUGAAUCAUCGAAUCUUUGAACGCACAUUGCGCCCGUCAGUAUUCUGGCGGGCAUGCCUGUUCGAGCGUCAUUACGCCCCUCAAGUCCCCUGUGGACUUGGUGUUGGGGAUCGGCGAGGCUGGUUUUCCAGCACAGCCGUCCCUUAAAUUAAUUGGCGGUCUCGCCGUGGCCCUCCUCUGCGCAGUAGUAAAACACUCGCAACAGGAGCCCGGCGCGGUCCACUGCCGUAAAACCCCCCAACUCUUUAUAGUUGACCUCGAAUCAGGUAGGACUACCCGCUGAACUUAAGCAUAUCAAUAAGCGGAGGA
rnacentral:misc_RNA from 1 species